CUUCUUUUCUAUUUUGCCUCUCUCUCUCUCUCUCUCUCUCUCUCUCUAUAUCUGUUUAUUUUCUCUUUCGCUCCUCCGCUGUAGAAAAUCUAGAAUCCCCUUCUUCUUUCCAAUUCGUUUCCCUCCACAGAUCUCCAAAUUCCCUCUCUCCAACCCUAAAUUCAUCGUCCCACACUCCCUCUCAACAAUUCACACUGAUCCAUUUUCUGUGCGCGGAUGAUUCUAGAAACUUCCAUGAACCUUCCCGGUAAGGCUCGUUUCGCUGCUCUCUUCAUGGACCACCGCCACCCUUACCAUGCCUGAGCUGCGUAGCAGACCACGCAGAACCCGGGCACCCAAAAACGCCGACCCGAUUCUGAGCCAGAACCCGAACCCGAUCACCCAGCCUCAGCCUCAACCACCUCAGAAGCUAACUGUGCGGAAGAGUAGGACCGCACAGAACAAGAAGAAUAAGGAAAAGAAGGCAGUUGGUGUCGGCAAGAGGAGGAGGGCGAGGGCUGGUCCGGUCAUUGAAACGAGGUCGUUUAAGUUAGACGAAGAACAGGCUGGUGGUGAGGGAGCCAUGGAUGAGUACGAUAGCGGUGGCCGCAGUGCCGAUAAAGGUCCCGGAGCUGAGGAUGAGGGCUUAGCUCCUAUUCCCGAGAAGGUCCAGGUUGGUGGUUCCCCAGUAUACAAAAUAGAAAAGAAAUUGGGGAAAGGAGGCUUUGGACAAGUGUAUGUAGGUCGACGCAUGGGGACUGGCCCUGGAGCUGUUGAGGUUGCGUUGAAAUUUGAGCAUAGAAGCAGCAAAGGAUGUAACUAUGGCCCACCUUACGAAUGGCAAAUUUACAAUGCACUUGGCGGUAGUCAUGGGGUGCCACGAGUUCAUUAUAAGGGCCGUCAAGCUGACUACUACAUCAUGGUGAUGGAUAUGCUUGGACCUAGCUUGUGGGAUGUCUGGAAUAACAGCUCACACACGAUGUCAAUUGAAAUGGUUGCGUGUAUUGCCAUUGAGGCAAUAUCCAUAUUGGAGAAGAUGCACUCUAGAGGAUAUGUACAUGGGGAUGUGAAACCUGAGAACUUUUUGCUUGGUCCCCCUGGUACUCUUGAGGAGAAGAAGCUGUUUCUUGUUGACCUUGGAUUAGCCACCAGGUGGCGAGAUUCGACUGGCCAGCAUGUUGACUAUGAUCAACGACCAGAUGUUUUCAGGGGAACGGUAAGGUAUGCAAGUGUGCAUGCUCAUCUUGGUAGAACUGGCAGCAGGCGAGAUGACUUGGAAUCUCUAGCUUACACACUGAUAUUUCUUCUUCGUGGCCGGUUGCCAUGGCAAGGAUAUCAGGGAGAAAAUAAAGGAUUCCUUGUCUGCAAGAAAAAGAUGGUCACUUCCCCAGAAACUCUCUGUUGCUUCUGCCCUCAACCAUUCAGACAGUUUCUUGAGUAUGUGGUGAAUUUGAAGUUUGACGAAGAACCGAACUAUGCAAAAUAUAUAUCCCUUUUUGAUGGGAUUGUUGGUCCAAAUCCAGAUAUCAGGCCAAUAAAUACUGAUGGUGCUCAGAAGCUUAUAUGUCAGGUUGGACAAAAGAGAGGAAGAUUGACCAUGGAGGAGGAGGAUGAUGAGCAACCAAAGAAGAAGAUUCGUAUGGGGAUGCCUGCAACACAAUGGAUUAGUGUAUACAAUGCUCGUAGGCCUAUGAAGCAAAGAUAUCACUAUAAUGUUGCGGAUGUGAGGCUCUCCCAACACAUUGAGAAAGGAAAUGAGGAUGGGUUAUUUAUUAGCAGUGUGGCUUCCUGUUCAAAUCUUUGGGCUCUUAUAAUGGAUGCUGGCACUGGCUUCAGUUCCCAAGUUUAUGAACUUUCUCCCUAUUUUCUUCAUAAGGAAUGGAUUAUGGAGCAAUGGGACAAAAACUACUAUAUCAGCGCAAUAGCAGGAACUAGCAAUGGAAGCUCAUUAGUUGUAAUGUCUAAAGGGACACAAUUCUUACAGCAGUCAUAUAAAGUCAGUGAGUCAUUUCCUUUCAAGUGGAUUAAUAAAAAAUGGAGGGAAGGAUUUUAUGUUACUGCAAUGGCCACUGCCGGGAGUAGAUGGGCUAUUGUUAUGUCCCGUGGUGCAGGAUUUUCUGACCAGGUUGUGGAACUAGAUUUCCUGUAUCCAAGUGAAGGCAUUCAUCGAAGGUGGGAUCAUGGUUUCCGCAUCACGUCAACUGCAGCAACUUGGGAUCAGGCAGCUUUUGUCCUUAGUGUUCCGAGGAGAAAACUGGCAGAUGAAACUCAAGAGACGCUUCGAACUUCUGCUUUUCCUAGUACUCAUGUUAAGGAGAAAUGGGCAAAAAAUCUGUAUAUUGCAUCUAUUUGUUAUGGUCGAACUGUCUCAUGAACAGCCAAAGUUAUGUUGGGAUGCCACUGAUGAAAUUCUGACGAUUCACCUUUAUGAACCACAAGCCAGCUUUUACCAUUUAGUGACUGUUCAGAAGCAAAAAUCCUCUCACGGAAAAUUUGAUUGGUCUUUGCAUAUGGGAGUUGAUGUCUUUGAAGCAGAACCACAAUAGGGAAGGUUAUAUUGCACCAAUUGAUGAAGUAAGACCCGUGAUGCCAAGAAAGGAAAGACCACCUAUCUUAACAUUGAUAUAGGUGAGCUGCAUGUGUGUGUGUGGCUUUGUGGUUCUUGCAUAUCCAGCCAUGGUGAUUCUAUUGGAGAAAGUGGAAGUUGUCGAACCACAAGUCCAGAAGAAGAAUGAUGCAGUACACCCAUACAAUUACAACGUUCCUCUCAAUUCCCCAAGCCAUUUGGUUUUAUUUCCAGUUGCAGAGACAAAAUGGCUCCUUCUUAGCCCGGAAUAUGGCAAUGGUGUGCAGAAUUUUCUAGAUUGAACUGACCAGACCGACUUGAAUCUGGCUGGUCAGAAAAUGCAGCCAGGUCAUGAAUUGGCAUUUCAGAAGACGAAUUGAAUCUAUCAUGAACCAGCCGAGGCAUGGUUGUUAAACAAUUGUCGAAUAUAAUCAAAUUUUUACUGUGAGAAUGA